AGAGUUUGAUCAUGGCUCAGGAUGAACGCUGGCGGCGUGCCUAAUACAUGCAAGUCGAGCGAAUGACGAGGAGCUUGCUCCUCUGAUUUAGCGGCGGACGGGUGAGUAACACGUGGGUAACCUGCCUGUAAGACGGGGAUAACUCCGGGAAACCGGAGCUAAUACCGGAUGAUAACGAGAAGCGCCUGCUUCUUUAUUGAAAGUCGGUUUCGGCUGACGCUUACAGAUGGGCCCGCGGCGCAUUAGCUAGUUGGUGAGGUAACGGCUCACCAAGGCGACGAUGCGUAGCCGACCUGAGAGGGUGAUCGGCCACACUGGGACUGAGACACGGCCCAGACUCCUACGGGAGGCAGCAGUAGGGAAUCUUCCGCAAUGGAUGAAAGUCUGACGGAGCAACGCCGCGUGAGUGAUGAAGGCUUUCGGGUCGUAAAACUCUGUUGAUAGGGAAGAACAAGUACGAGAGUAACUGCUCGUACCUUGACGGUACCUAACCAGAAAGCCACGGCUAACUACGUGCCAGCAGCCGCGGUAAUACGUAGGUGGCAAGCGUUAUCCGGAAUUAUUGGGCGUAAAGCGCGCGCAGGCGGUUUCUUAAGUCUGAUGUGAAAGCCCACGGCUCAACCGUGGAGGG
rnacentral:rRNA from 1 species